GCUUACCAUGCAGUCGACGCACCUUUCGGGGUGAGUGGCAGACGGGUGAGUAACGCGUGGGAAUCUACCCUUCUCUACGGGAUAGCUCUGGGAAACUGGAAUUAAUACCGUAUACGUCCUGAGGGAGAAAGAUUUAUCGGGGAAGGAUGAGCCCGCGUUGGAUUAGCUAGUUGGUGGGGUAAAGGCCUACCAAGGCGACGAUCCAUAGCUGGUCUAAGAGGAUGAUCAGCCACAUUGGGACUGAGACACGGCCCAAACUCCUACGGGAGGCAGCAGUGGGGAAUAUUGGACAAUGGGCGCAAGCCUGAUCCAGCCAUGCCGCGUGAGUGAUGAAGGCCCUAGGGUUGUAAAGCUCUUUCAGUGGGGACGAUAAUGACGGUACCCACAGAAGAAGCCCCGGCUAACUUCGUGCCAGCAGCCGCGGUAAUACGAAGGGGGCUAGCGUUGUUCGGAAUUACUGGGCGUAAAGCGCACGUAGGCGGAUAUUUAAGUCAGGGGUGAAAUCCCGGGGCUCAACCCCGGAACUGCCUUUGAUACUGGGUAUCUUGAGUUCGGAAGAGGUAAGUGGAAUUGCGAGUGUAGAGGUGAAAUUCGUAGAUAUUCGCAGAACACCAGUGGCGAAGCGGCUUACUGGUCCGAUACUGACGCUGAGUGCGAAAGCGUGGGGAGCAAACAGGAUUAGAUACCCUGGUAGUCCACGCCGUAAACGAUGGAAGCUAGCCGUCGGGUGAUUUAUCACUCGGUGGCGCAUCAAACGCAUUAAGCUUCCCGCCUGGGGAGUACGUCGCAGAUUA
rnacentral:rRNA from 1 species